UCCGGUUUGGCACCGGCAGUCUCCCUAGAGUCCCCGGCAUUAUCCGCUGGUAACUAAGGGCGAGGGUUGCGCUCGUUGCGGGACUUAACCCAACAUCUCACGACACGAGCUGACGACAGCCAUGCAGCACCUGUCUCCGGUCCAGCCGAACUGAAGGGAUCGAUCUCUCGUUCCCGCAACCGGGAUGUCAAAGGCUGGUAAGGUUCUUCGCGUUGCUUCGAAUUGAACCACAUGCUCCACCGCUUGUGCGGGCCCCCGUCAAUUCCUUUGAGUUUCAACCUUGCGGUCGUACUUCCCAGGUGGAUUACUUAAUGCUUUCGCUCAGAGGCGUGCUGUGCAUCGCACACUUCGAGUAAUCAUCGUUUAGGGCGUGGACUAC
rnacentral:misc_RNA from 1 species